rnacentral:rRNA from 1 species
AGAGUUUGAUCCUGGCUCAGGAUGAACGCUGGCGGCGUGCCUAAUACAUGCAAGUCGAGCGAACGGACGAGAAGCUUGCUUCUCUGAUGUUAGCGGCGGACGGGUGAGUAACACGUGGAUAACCUACCUAUAAGACUGGGAUAACUUCGGGAAACCGGAGCUAAUACCGGAUAAUAUUUUGAACCGCAUGGUUCAAAAGUAAAAGACGGUCUUGCUGUCACUUAUAGAUGGAUCCGCGCUGCAUUAGCUAGUUGGUAAGGUAACGGCUUACCAAGGCAACGAUGCAUAGCCGACCUGAGAGGGUGAUCGGCCACACUGGAACUGAGACACGGUCCAGACUCCUACGGGAGGCAGCAGUAGGGAAUCUUCCGCAAUGGGCGAAAGCCUGACGGAGCAACGCCGCGUGAGUGAUGAAGGUCUUCGGAUCGUAAAACUCUGUUAUUAGGGAAGAACAUAUGUGUAAGUAACUGUGCACAUCUUGACGGUACCUAAUCAGAAAGCCACGGCUAACUACGUGCCAGCAGCCGCGGUAAUACGUAGGUGGCAAAGCGUUAUCCGGAAUUAUUGGGCGUAAAGCGCGCGUAGGCGGUUUUUUAAGUCUGAUGUGAAAGCCCACGGCUCAACCGUGGAGGGUCAUUGGAAACUGGAAAACUUGAGUGCAGAAGAGGAAAGUGGAAUUCCAUGUGUAGCGGUGAAAUGCGCAGAGAUAUGGAGGAACACCAGUGGCGAAGGCGACUUUCUGGUCUGUAACUGACGCUGAUGUGCGAAAGCGUGGGGAUCAAACAGGAUUAGAUACCCUGGUAGUCCACGCCGUAAACGAUGAGUGCUAAGUGUUAGGGGGUUUCCGCCCCUUAGUGCUGCAGCUAACGCAUUAAGCACUCCGCCUGGGGAGUACGACCGCAAGGUUGAAACUCAAAGGAAUUGACGGGGACCCGCACAAGCGGUGGAGCAUGUGGUUUAAUUCGAAGCAACGCGAAGAACCUUACCAAAUCUUGACAUCCUUUGACAACUCUAGAGAUAGAGCCUUCCCCUUCGGGGGACAAAGUGACAGGUGGUGCAUGGUUGUCGUCAGCUCGUGUCGUGAGAUGUUGGGUUAAGUCCCGCAACGAGCGCAACCCUUAAGCUUAGUUGCCAUCAUUAAGUUGGGCACUCUAAGUUGACUGCCGGUGACAAACCGGAGGAAGGUGGGGAUGACGUCAAAUCAUCAUGCCCCUUAUGAUUUGGGCUACACACGUGCUACAAUGGACAAUACAAAGGGCAGCGAAACCGCGAGGUCAAGCAAAUCCCAUAAAGUUGUUCUCAGUUCGGAUUGUAGUCUGCAACUCGACUACAUGAAGCUGGAAUCGCUAGUAAUCGUAGAUCAGCAUGCUACGGUGAAUACGUUCCCGGGUCUUGUACACACCGCCCGUCACACCACGAGAGUUUGUAACACCCGAAGCCGGUGGAGUAACCUUUUAGGAGCUAGCCGUCGAAGGUGGGACAAAUGAUUGGGGUGAAGUCGUAACAAGGUAGCCGUAUCGGAAGGUGCGGCUGGAUCACCU